UCAAACGUCCAAGACCCAUUUUGGCAUCAAUCAUAGAGCAAAGACGUGCAGGACAGAACUAAUCGGUGGCCGAUUGUGCAAAAGAGGAAAAAGAGAGAGAGGGAAAAAAGAAGGUUCAAUUCCAAAAAUAAUGAAAGGAAAGAAAACCCCGGGGGGGGGGGGGCGCCAACGAGGAAGAUGCACGUAAGUUGUCUGGGCACCACUACAGCGACCUGCUCUUCAGUCAUCAUAUGCCAAAAAAAGUGACAUGAGAAAUCUCUAAUCUCUGCAAUACUGAA